ACUGACCCGCUAGCCCAACCAAACCAAAAACAACAAAACACCAUAACUAACCCCAAAGACACGAAUGUCUCCACGAACAAACCAUUUUUCCCCUUUAGUAUGGGCGACAGAAAAAGAACACGGAGCGAUAGAGAAAGUACCGCAAGGGAAUGCUGAAAAACUAAAUGAAAUAAACAAGUGAAGCCCAAAAAAGCAGAGACAUUACCUCGUACCUUUUGCAUCAUGA
rnacentral:rRNA from 1 species